rnacentral:rRNA from 1 species
CCUACGGGUGCAGCAGUGGGGAAUAUUGGACAAUGGGCGAAAGCCUGAUCCAGCCAUGCCGCGUGUGUGAAGAAGGCCUUCGGGUUGUAAAGCACUUUCAGUGGGGAAGAAAGCCUUGGGGCUAAUACCCUCGAGGAAGGACAUCACCCACAGAAGAAGCACCGGCUAACUCCGUGCCAGCAGCCGCGGUAAUACGGAGGGUGCGAGCGUUAAUCGGAAUUACUGGGCGUAAAGCGCGCGUAGGCGGUCUGAUAAGCCGGUUGUGAAAGCCCCGGGCUCAACCUGGGAACGGCAUCCGGAACUGUCAGGCUAGAGUGCAGGAGAGGAAGGUAGAAUUCCCGGUGUAGCGGUGAAAUGCGUAGAGAUCGGGAGGAAUACCAGUGGCGAAGGCGGCCAUCUGGACUGACACUGACGCUGAGGUGCGAAAGCGUGGGUAGCAAACAGGAUUAGAUACCCGGGUAGUC